rnacentral:rRNA from 1 species
AUUGAACGCUGGCGGCAUGCCUUACACAUGCAAGUCGAACGGUAACGCGGGGCAACCUGGCGACGAGUGGCGAACGGGUGAGUAAUGUAUCGGAACGUGCCCAGUUGUGGGGGAUAACUGCUCGAAAGAGCAGCUAAUACCGCAUACGACCUGAGGGUGAAAGCGGGGGAUCGCAAGACCUCGCGCAAUUGGAGCGGCCGAUAUCAGAUUAGGGAGUUGGUGGGGUAAAGGCUCACCAAGGCAACGAUCUGUAGCUGGUAUGAGAGGACGAACAGCCACAGUGGGGCUGAGACACGGCCCAGACUGCUACGGGAGGCAGCAGUGGGGAAUUUUGGACAAUGGACGCAAGUCUGAUCCAGCCAUGCCGCGUGCGGGAAGAAGGCCUUCGGGUUGUAAACCGCUUUUGUCAGGGAAGAAACGCUCUGGGUUAAUACCUCGGGGUAAUGACGGUACCUGAAGAAUAAGCACCGGCUAACUACGUGCCAGCCGCCGCCGUAACAC